rnacentral:rRNA from 1 species
GGUCUUGACAUCCCGAUGCUAUUCUAGAGAUAGAAAGUACUUCGGUACAUCGGUGACAGGUGGUGCAUGGUUGUCGUCAGCUCGUGUCGUGAGAUGUUGGGUUAAGUCCCGCAACGAGCGCAACCCCUAUUGUUAGUUGCCAUCAUUCAGUUGGGCACUCUAGCGAGACUGCCGGUAAUAAACCGGAGGAAGGUGGGGAUGACGUCAAAUCAUCAUGCCCCUUACGACCUGGGCUACACACGUGCUACAAUGGUUGGUACAACGAGUUGCGAGUCGGUGACGGCGAGCUAAUCUCUUAAAAGCCAAUCUCAGUUCGGAUUGUAGGCUGCAACUCGCCUACAUGAAGUCGGAAUCGCUAGUAAUCGCGGAUCAGCACGCCGCGGUGAAUACGUUCCCGGGCCUU